GAGGAAAGUCCGGGCACCGCAGAGCAGGAUAGCAGAUAACAUCUGCCGAGGGCGACCUCCGAGCAAGUGCAACAGAGAUAUACCGCAGCGGCUUUGCUCGCAAAGACGCUUGUAAGGGUGGAAAGGUGAGGUAAGAGCUCACCGGAGCGCCGGAGACGGCGCUGCCAUGUAAACCUUAUCCGGUGCAACGCCAAUGGCAGCCGAAGGGUCAAUGGCUGCUCGUCAGACCCCAGGCUGUAGGCGGCUAAAGCUGGCCGGUGACGGUCAGUUCAGAUAGAUUGCCGUACACGACAAAACCCGGCUUAUCGGUCGGCC
rnacentral:RNase_P_RNA from 1 species